rnacentral:rRNA from 1 species
UACAGAGGGGGCAAGCGUUGUUCGGAAUUACUGGGCGUAAAGGGCGCGUAGGCGGCCUUCUAAGUCGAACGUGAAAUCCCCGGGCUCAACCCGGGAACUGCGUCCGAGACUGAAAGGCUCGAAUCCGGGAGAGGGAUGUGGAAUUCCAGGUGUAGCGGUGGAAAUGCGUAGAUAUCUGGAGGAACAUCGGUGGCGAAGGCGGCAUCCUGGACCGGUAUUGACGCUGAGGCGCGAAAGCCAGGGGAGCAAACGGG